rnacentral:rRNA from 1 species
AGUGAACGCUGGCGGUAGGCCUAACACAUGCAAGUCGAACGGCAGCACAGUAAGAGCUUGCUCUUACGGGUGGCGAGUGGCGGACGGGUGAGGAAUACAUCGGAAUCUACUUUUUCGUGGGGGAUAACGUAGGGAAACUUACGCUAAUACCGCAUACGACCUACGGGUGAAAGCAGGGGAUCUUCGGACCUUGCGCGAUUGAAUGAGCCGAUGUCGGAUUAGCUAGUUGGCGGGGGAAAGGCCCACCAAGGCGACGAUCCGUAGCUGGUCUGAGAGGAUGAUCAGCCACACUGGAACUGAGGCAGGGCCCAGACUCCUACGGGAGGCAACAGUGGGGAAUAUUGCACAAUGGGCGCAAGCCUGAUCCAGCCAUACCGCGUGAGUGAAGAAGGCCUUCGGGUUGUAAAGCCCUUUUGUUGGGAAAGAAAAGCAGCAGGUUAAUACCCCGCUGUUCUGACGGUACCCAAAGAAUAAGCACCGGCUAACUUCGUG